ncrna:unclassified sequences DTF3800-VI RNA
CGGUUGGGAGGGCUGCCAUUGCAGUUCGCCGGACUUCGGUCCGCCCGGCUG